rnacentral:rRNA from 1 species
AAAACUCUAAGCGGUGGAUCACUCGGCUCAUGGGUCGAUGAAGAACGCAGCAAACUGUGCGUCAUCGUGUGAACUGCAGGACACAUGAACAUCGACAUUUUGAACGCAUAUCGCAGUCCAUGCUGUUAUGUACUUUAAUUAAUUUUAUAGUGCUGCUUGGACUACAUAUGGUUGAGGGUUGUAAGACUAUGCUAAUUAAGUUGCUUAUAAAUUUUUAUAAGCAUAUGGUAUAUUAUUGGAUAAAUAUAAUAAUUUUUAUUCAUAAUAUUAAAAAAUAAAUGAAAAACAUUAUCUCACAUUUGAAUGUGAAAAACGAAGAGAAAUAUUUUCUUUUUCAAUCAAAUAAUACUGAGAAAUGUCUAGCAUAAAAAAUUGAAAUAUUUUUCAUCUAGAAUUGUCUCUUAUUAAUGAUUCGGAAAUAGAAAAAUCUUGGUUAUGUUAUUAUUCUUCGUUGGUUCGUUAAAAAUGGAUAAAUAAAAACUUUGCAUACAAGAAUUAAUAAAAAUGUUAUAACGAAUUUAAUUAAAUGUUUUAUCAUUAUAUAUAAAGAAUUUAUGGCAAGAUAAAGUUAUAUACAACCUCAACUCAUAUGGGACUACCCCCUGAAUUUAAGCAUAUUAAUUAGGGGAGGAAAAGAAACUAACAAGGAUUUUCUUAGUAGCGGCGAGCGAAAAGAAAACAGUUCAGCACUAAGUCACUUUGUCUAUAUGGCAAAUGUGAGAUGCAGUGUAUGGAGCGUCAAUAUUCUAGUAUGAGAAAUUAACGAUUUAAGUCCUUCUUAAAUGAGGCCAUUUACCCAUAGAGGGUGCCAGGCCCGUAUAACGUUAAUGAUUACUAGAUGAUGUUUCCAAAGAGUCGUGUUGCUUGAUAGUGCAGCACUAAGUGGGUGGUAAACUCCAUCUAAAACUAAAUAUAACCAUGAGACCGAUAGUAAACAAGUACCGUGAGGGAAAGUUGAAAAGAACUCUGAAUAGAGAGUUAAACAGUACGUGAAACUGCUUAGAGGUUAAGCCCGAUGAACCUGAAUAUCCGUUAUGGAAAAUUCAUCAUUAAAAUUGUAAUAUUUAAAUAAUAUUAUGAGAAUAGUGUGCAUUUUUUCCAUAUAAGGACAUUGUAAUCUAUUAGCAUAUACCAAAUUUAUCAUAAAAUAUAACUUAUAGUUUAUUCCAAUUAAAUUGCUUGCAUUUUAACACAGAAUAAAUGUUAUUAAUUUGAUAAAGUGCUGAUAGAUUUAUAUGAUUACAGUGCGUUAAUUUUUCGGAAUUAUAUAAUGGCAUAAUUAUCAUUGAUUUUUGUGUUUAUUAUAUGCACUUGUAUGAUUAACAAUGCGAAAGAUUCAGGAUACCUUCGGGACCCGUCUUGAAACACGGACCAAGGAGUCUAACAUAUGUGCAAGUUAUUGGGAUAUAAACCUAAUAGCGUAAUUAACUUGACUAAUAAUGGGAUUAGUUUUUUAGCUAUUUAUAGCUAAUUAACACAAUCCCGGGGCGUUCUAUAUAGUUAUGUAUAAUGUAUAUUUAUAUUAUUUAUGCCUCUAACUGGAACGUACCUUGAGCAUAUAUGCUGUGACCCGAAAGAUGGUGAACUAUACUUGAUCAGGUUGAAGUCAGGGGAAACCCUGAUGGAAGACCGAAACAGUUCUGACGUGCAAAUCGAUUGUCAGAAUUGAGUAUAGGGGCGAAAGACCAAUCGAACCAUCUAGUAGCUGGUUCCUUCCGAAGUUUCCCUCAGGAUAGCUGGUGCAUUUUAAUAUUAUAUAAAAUAAUCUUAUCUGGUAAAGCGAAUGAUUAGAGGCCUUAGGGUCGAAACGAUCUUAACCUAUUCUCAAACUUUAAAUGGGUAAGAACCUUAACUUUCUUGAUAUGAAGUUCAAGGUUAUGAUAUAAUGUGCCCAGUGGGCCACUUUUGGUAAGCAGAACUGGCGCUGUGGGAUGAACCAAACGUAAUGUUACGGUGCCCAAAUUAACAACUCAUGCAGAUACCAUGAAAGGCGUUGGUUGCUUAAAACAGCAGGACGGUGAUCAUGGAAGUCGAAAUCCGCUAAGGAGUGUGUAACAACUCACCUGCCGAAGCAACUAGCCCUUAAAAUGGAUGGCGCUUAAGUUGUAUACCUAUACAUUACCGCUAAAGUAGAUGAUUUAUAUUACUUGUGAUAUAAAUUUUGAAACUUUAGUGAGUAGGAAGGUACAAUGGUAUGCGUAGAAGUGUUUGGCGUAAGCCUGCAUGGAGCUGCCAUUGGUACAGAUCUUGGUGGUAGUAGCAAAUAAUCGAAUGAGACCUUGGAGGACUGAAGUGGAGAAGGGUUUCGUGUGAACAGUGGUUGAUCACGAGUUAGUCGGUCCUAAGUUCAAGGCGAAAGCCGAAAAUUUUCAAGUAAAACAAAAAUGCCUAACUAUAUAAACAAAGCGAAUUAUAAUACACUUGAAUAAUUUUGAACGAAAGGGAAUACGGUUCCAAUUCCGUAACCUGUUGAGUAUCCGUUUGUUAUUAAAUAUGGGCCUCGUGCUCAUCCUGGCAACAGGAACGACCAUAAAGAAGCCGUCGAGAGAUAUCGGAAGAGUUUUCUUUUCUGUUUUAUAGCCGUACUACCAUGGAAGUCUUUCGCAGAGAGAUAUGGUAGAUGGGCUAGAAGAGCAUGACAUAUACUGUUGUGUCGAUAUUUUCUCCUCGGACCUUGAAAAUUUAUGGUGGGGACACGCAAACUUCUCAACAGGCCGUACCAAUAUCCGCAGCUGGUCUCCAAGGUGAAGAGUCUCUAGUCGAUAGAAUAAUGUAGGUAAGGGAAGUCGGCAAAUUAGAUCCGUAACUUCGGGAUAAGGAUUGGCUCUGAAGAUUGAGAUAGUCGGGCUUGAUUGGGAAACAAUAACAUGGUUUAUGUGCUCGUUCUGGGUAAAUAGAGUUUCUAGCAUUUAUGUUAGUUACUUGUUCCCCGGAUAGUUUAGUUACGUAGCCAAUUGUGGAACUUUCUUGCUAAAAUUUUUAAGAAUACUAUUUGGGUUAAACCAAUUAGUUCUUAUUAAUUAUAACGAUUAUCAAUUAACAAUCAAUUCAGAACUGGCACGGACUUGGGGAAUCCGACUGUCUAAUUAAAACAAAGCAUUGUGAUGGCCCUAGCGGGUGUUGACACAAUGUGAUUUCUGCCCAGUGCUUUUUUUCUGCUCCCAGUGCUCUGUAAUGUCCAAAGUGAAGAAAUUCAAGUAAGCCGCGGGUCAACGGCGGGAGUAACUAUGAGCGUCUCUAUGAAGGUGUCUGCAAAGUGUAACGAUUCGAACGGAUGAAGAACGUCGACGUGUCGAUAUAAGGCAAGAUGGAGUGAUGAAGAGAAGUGGAUGAUGGCGAGAAAGGAGGUUGAGCUCACAGCAAAUGGAUGUAAACACAUAAACAAGCAACUAGCGGUGUAUUUUGCAAACCGCAGCGUCGAAGCCAUCAAAAAGCUAAGACAGAGGGGCGAUUAUAAGGAGAAAAUAGAGCAGAUAAGAGGGCAAUCAGCUCUCGCCCCGGAAGUUGCUAAUCUAACCAUAAGGCGCCGCCCUAGUAGAAGUGAGCAAGACCACCAAGUAACAACAUCGGAAACAACUCCAAUCACUCCCUUCGAACAGUCGAACAGGGAAAUUUUGCGGACACUACGCGGGUAUAGCCCCGUAGAAUGCCAUUCCAAAUGGAGAGCCCAAGAGUUGCAAACUAUCAUUGAUAGGGCACAUCUCGAGGGAAAGGAAACCACUCUCCAAUGCUUAUCGCUAUAUCUCCUGGGAAUUUUUCCGGCACAGGGUGUACGACACACACUGACGAGACCUCCUCGGAGACCUCGGAACAGGAGAGAAAGCAGAAGGCAGCAGUACGCUGUCGUCCAGCGUAACUGGGAUAAGCAUAAAGGAAGAUGCAUCAAGUCCUUGCUAAAUGGAACUGAUGAGUCGGUAAUGCCAAGCCAAGAAAUAAUGGUUCCCUACUGG